CCUACGGGUGGCUGCAGUGGGGAAUAUUGCACAAUGGGCGCAAGCCUGAUGCAGCCAUGCCGCGUGUGUGAAGAAGGCCUUCGGGUUGUAAAGCACUUUCAGCGGGGAGGAAGGCGGUGAGGUUAAUAACCUCAUCGAUUGACGUUACCCGCAGAAGAAGCACCGGCUAACUCCGUGCCAGCAGCCGCGGUAAUCCGGAGGGUGCAAGCGUUAAUCGGAAUUACUGGGCGUAAAGCGCACGCAGGCGGUCUGUCAAGUCGGAUGUGAAAUCCCCGGGCUCAACCUGGGAACUGCAUUCGAAACUGGCAGGCUAGAGUCGUGUAGAGGGGGGUAGAAUUCCAGGUGUAGCGGUGAAAUGCGUAGAGAUCUGGAGGAAUACCGGUGGCGAAGGCGGCCCCCUGGACAAAGACUGACACUCAGGUGCGAAAGCGUGGGGAGCAAACAGGAUUAGAUACCCGUGUAGUC
rnacentral:rRNA from 1 species